ensembl:lncRNA
UAUCACUAAUGAUAGUAUAUAAUGACACAUCUUCCAAUGAAUUCUCCUCUAUUUGUGUAUCACUUAAUAUGAGAGUGAUUCUCUUUAAACUAUAGAAGAUGACAUCUCAGCAUGGAUAAUUGUACACAAAAAAGCUGUGAAGAGAAUAUCCAUCAUUUCCAGAUGUGGACAUAUGAUCCAGGAGGCAAUUGAAGGUCUGGAAGGAACAAUACAUAUCUUGGCACUUCACAACAACUGUUGGCAUAAUUUUCAGGAGAACACGUAUAUCUUUUCACAUAGAGUCUAUGCAUGCUUUUAUGAUGAUUAUAUGGAAAAUACAGAUGUCAGCAAGUAAUUCUGCUCUCUGUUUUGCUAAUUUCUAGUGUGUGUACAAUAUAUCUACAGAUCAGAUAAUUAUGUCACUAAUAAUAUUUGUACUAAUUAUUGCUAUUAGAAUCUAUCAAUAGUAUAAUAUUAGUGUCAGUAGUAUUGCUA